rnacentral:rRNA from 1 species
CCUACGGGAGGCAGCAGUGGGGAAUUUUGGACAAUGGGCGAAAGCCUGAUCCAGCAAUGCCGCGUGAGUGAAGAAGGCCUUCGGGUUGUAAAGCUCUUUUGUCAGGGAAGAAACGGUGAGAGCUAAUAUCUCUUGCUAAUGACGGUACCUGAAGAAUAAGCACCGGCUAACUACGUGCCAGCAGCCGCGGUAAUACGUAGGGUGCAAGCGUUAAUCGGAAUUACUGGGCGUAAAGCGUGCGCAGGCGGUUUUGUAAGUCUGAUGUGAAAUCCCCGGGCUCAACCUGGGAAUUGCAUUGGAGACUGCAAGGCUAGAAUCUGGCAGAGGGGGGUAGAAUUCCACGUGUAGCAGUGAAAUGCGUAGAUAUGUGGAGGAACACCGAUGGCGAAGGCAGCCCCCUGGGUCAAGAUUGACGCUCAUGCACGAAAGCGUGGGGAGCAAACAGGAUUAGAUACCCUGGUAGUCCACGCCCUAAACGAUGUCUACUAGUUGUCGGGUCUUAAUUGACUUGGUAACGCAGCUAACGCGUGAAGUAGACCGCCUGGGGAGUACGGUCGCAAGAUUAAAACGUAAAGGAAUUGACGG